rnacentral:rRNA from 1 species
UACGAAGGGGGCGAGCGUUGUUCGGAAUUACUGGGCGUAAAGGGCGCGCAGGCGGCCUUAGAAGUCAGAUGUGAAAGCCCCGGGCUCAACCUGGGAAUGGCAUUUGAUACUCUGAGGCUGGAGUACGGGAGAGGAGAGUGGAAUUCCCAGUGUAGAGGUGAAAUUCGUAGAUAUUGGGAAGAACACCGGUGGCGAAGGCGGCUCUCUGGACCGUAACUGACGCUGAGGCGCGAAAGCGUGGGGGAGCAAACAGG